rnacentral:lncRNA from 1 species
GUUUAAGAGCUGUAAUCCUUGAGUGUGUAUAAACUUUAUCCAUAUAAAUGAUCCAAUGGCUGAAGGUGAGUUUGUGCUAUGAAAAUCAGUGUAGUGUUGGUCUGAGAUUUAAAUUUUGGUUGUUCCUUUUAAUGAAGAUUCCUCUAUUUAUUAGGUACAGUAUAUUUCCCAGGUUCUCAAUUACAGCCUGACAGCAUCAAAUGUUUUCUUUUUCCAGAUGAAAUUACACUAAAAAGAAGAUUAAAGCAUAAAGAAACCUUCAAAUCUCAUCAUUCCCACAAAAAGCUUCCUCCAAAUCAUUUUACCCUUUUAUUCUCCUACUAAUACAUUUACAUUUACA